rnacentral:rRNA from 1 species
CCUACGGGGGGCAGCAGUUAUUAAUAUUUUUCAAUUUUCUCUCUCCUGCCCCCGCCCCGUCGCGUGAGGGAGGACGGCCCUACGGGUUGUAAACCUCUUUUGCCGGGGAGCAACGGGCGUCACGUGUGGCGCCACUGAGAGUACCCGGAGAAAAAGCAUCGGCUAACUCCGUGCCAGCAGCCGCGGUAAUACGGAGGAUGCGAGCGUUAUCCGGAUUUAUUGGGUUUAAAGGGUGCGUAGGCGGAUCGUUAAGUCAGUGGUCAAAUUGAGGGGCUCAACCCCUUCCCGCCAUUGAAACUGGCGCUCUUGAGUGGAAGAGAAGUAUGCGGAAUGCGUGGUGUAGCGGUGAAAUGCAUAGAUAUCACGCAGAACCCCGAUUGCGAAGGCAGCAUGCCGGCUUCCGACUGACGCUGAAGCACGAAAGCGUGGGGAUCGAACAGGAUUAGAUACCCUUGUAGUC